ensembl:lncRNA
GGGGACCCCGGCCCGCCGCCCGCCGGCCCGCGCCCACCAGGCCCGAGCGGGCAGGCCGGCUGGCGAGCAGGGGGCGGGCGGGAGACGGAACAAAAGCGCCUUUGUUGAGCGGCAGCCGCCGGAGGGUCACACACAAUGGAGGAGGGAGCCGGCUCCGCCGCCGCCGGGCCCGCCGCGGCGCCCUCCCGAGCCGCCCCGCCGGCGCCCCGCACACGUACACACACACACUCACGGGACUCCUCCGGCUCAUCGAGGGAGUGCGGGGCCCGCGGACAGCCCCCAGGGUCGGCUCAGGUCUCCGGCUGUGCUGACGGCAGCGGCGUCUCCGAGGCUCUCGCUUUGCCGCAGUCGCCGCCAUGUAACCCCGACCCGAGAGAGAGGGCGAGGGAGAUGGGGCGGGGCCUCCGGGGCCACGCCCCCGCACGUCACAGGCUCACUCCACGGGUUCCCCCGCCCCCGCCCGGCCCCGCGCGCCAGCACGCGCCGGAAUUUCCAAAGCCUGUGACUGGGCUCCGCGGGCCGCGGGGGCGGCGGAGGGCGCGCGGGCGCUGGGGCCGCCUCCGGCGGCUGGACCCGCGACCGCUCUGCUAUGCUCCCUGUCCCCGCGCUGGAGCACAGCGACCCAACUCCUUGCGAGCGUUUCCUGCGCACCUACUACGUGCAAGGCGCUGGCAGUCCAGGAGGAAUAGGCCUUCGUCCCUGUCCCCGGAAAUGGGCCUGGAACGAGAAGGCUGGAGCUGAAGAUGGAUUGGCUAGAAGGCAACAGCCGACGUACAGGGCAAACGCGUUAGAGGCCAGGUGCUAAGGAGGUUGUUAAAUCUGCCCGCGGGUAUGAAGGAAGGCUUCUAAGGGAGGUCGCCACGGGUGACCUUUCAGCUGUAUCAGAAGGAGCUGAUAUAACCGGAGGAGAUCCAUCUGCUGGGUGUUUUCUACUCUGGAGAGCUUAAGGACAUCUCAGCCCAGUGACUUUUCUUCUAUGAGCCUGCUUUCAGACAGUCCGUAAAAGUUUUAAAGAAGACAAGUCCCCCAGAGGUAAUCCUUGAGGGCUCCACUCUGAAACAGGAAGACUCCAUCUGGUAUCCUGGCACCAACAGUAGUCAGUAGACUGGGUACUGGCCCCAGUUCUGACACAGUAGUUGUUAGAUUCCAGGCAAUUGCUGACAUGAUACCUGUGGUGGACAUUGAGAUGCAUUGGCCAGAUGCCCUUCAAGGAAGGACUUGUUGCCCAGCCGUGGGGAGAGUGCUCAGCACACAGCUGUCAGCUGUCAUUUCCUUCGGGGUUUGCCUCAUCUGCAGACAGCCACCUUGCCCGAGGAGAGGCUCCUUUCCUGGGCGGCCCAAAUUCAAUGGCUGAGCAAGGCAAGGAUAGAAAGGCCUGGCUAUUUCAGCCCUGUGAAGGACAACUUCAAUGGACUAUUUCUGCUCAAGAGCUCCCAGUGGGGUUAGCUGAGGCCUUAUCAGCCUGCAUCUCAGAUCAGAUUCUCCCUCUGCCCAAUCCUGUUUUCUUUCCCUCCCACCCAUGGGUAUUGAUCCCAAGAGCUCUCCCUAAUAAUUAUCCUGAACACUAAAGUCUGUCACAGAAUCUGCUUCCUGGAAAACUCAAACUGCCACAGUUGGAGCCAGGAGAGUUCUGAGAAAGCAGGUGAUAAGAUGGGGUUUUGGAGCUGAUCACUCACCACCCAGCUGGUAGAAGGACCUUGUCACAGUCAUAGAUGGAGCACAGAUAGUCCUUGGCACAAGGUGGUGGUCCAGUUAUUAAAACUUUCACCAGUGGUGAAUUGGGACGGUAUACUCGUGAAAGAGAAUGUAUUAGCUGGUGCAACAUAUGGAGGAAGUAGUAACUAUAAGGACAAUGGGAUAGGAUGGUUAGUGCUUAGCUCUUCUGAAGCUCUAGGAAAAGAAAACAGAAAGCUGAGAAAGUGACUAGCAGGCAACUGAAAGCAAAGUGUGAACACCAGAGGGUCUCUUUGGUGGCAUGUGAAGAGGCUUCCAUAACCUGCAGCGGGAGGGCCGAGAAAGCUGAGGACCAGACCGAACUAUGCAGCCAAGCUCCAAAGAAGGUGUUGACCCCAAAGGCACUUCCUAAUAAACAUCCUGGACACUAAACUCUGACUCAGAGUCUUCUUCCUGCAGAGCCUAAACUGUGAAAAUGCCCCAUCA